GACGUAGGGCGCGAGCGUUGUCCGGAUUUAUUGGGCGUAAAGAGCUCGUAGGCGGCUUGUCGCGUCGACUGUGAAAACCCGAGGCUCAACCUCGGGCCUGCAGUGGGUACGGGCAGACUAGAGUGCGGUAGGGGAGAUUGGAAUUCCUGGUGUAGCGGUGGAAUGCGCAGAUAUCAGGAGGAACACCAAUGGCGAAGGCAGAUCUCUGGGCCGUAACUGACGCUGAGGAGCGAAAGCAUGGGUAGCAAACGGG
rnacentral:rRNA from 1 species